rnacentral:rRNA from 1 species
UGCCAGCCGCCGCGGUAAUACGAAGGGGGCUAGCGUUGUUCGGAAUUACUGGGCGUAAAGCGCACGUAGGCGGACACUUAAGUCAGAGGUGAAAUCCCGGAGCUCAACUUCGGAAUUGCCUUUGAUACUGGGUGUCUCGAGUUCGAGAGAGGUGAGUGGAACUCCGAGUGUAGAGGUGAAAUUCGUAGAUAUUCGGAAGAACACCAGUGGCGAAGGCGGCUCACUGGCUCGAUACUGACGCUGAGGUGCGAAAGCGUGGGGAGCAAACAGGAUUAGAUA